ACUCUAUAUAUACCCACUGAUGGGACAUUUUUAACAAAUUGAUGAAAAUUACCCUCAUGAUGUCCUUAGAUAGCUUAAGAAUCUUAAUGGGAGUUGGUAUCAGUUGGUAGUGAUAGCAGUAAUUCAACAAAAUUUGUCAAAACUGGUAUUCUGUUUAUAUUGUUAUGCAUGCUAGUCAUUCAGAGGUAAACGCUGUUGUGCAUGCUAGUCAAUCAGAGGUAAACGUUGUUGUGCAUGCUAGUCAUUCAGAGGUAAACGCUGUUGUGCAUGCUAGUCAUUCAGAGGUAAACGCUGUUGUGCAUGCUAGUCAUUCAGAGGUAAACGUUGUUGUGCAUGCUAGUCAUUCAGAGGUAAACGUUGUUGUGCAUGCUAGUCAUUCAGAGGUAAACGUUGUUGUGCAUGCUAGUCAUUCAGAGGUAAACGUUGUUGUGCAUGCUAGUCAUUCAGAGGUAAACGUUGUUGUGCAUGCUAGUCAUUCAGAGGUAAACGUUGGUGUGCAUGCUAGUCAUUCAGAGGUAAACGUUGUUGUGCAUGCUAGUCAUUCAGAGGUAAACGUUGGUGUGCAUGCUAGUCAUUCAGAGGUAAACGUUGUUGUGCAUGCUAGUCAUUCAGAGGUAAACGUUGGUGUGCAUGCUAGUCAUUCAGAGGUAAACGUUGUUGUGCAUGCUAGUCAUU